rnacentral:ncRNA from 18 species
GUAGAGUGGCCGCGUCGUCAUCACGCCCGUACAGGGGGAAGCCGGUGCAAUUCCGGCGCUGACCCGCAACCGUCACAGCCGGAUCGCCCGGUACGGGACCGUGACCGGCU